rnacentral:rRNA from 1 species
GACGAACGCUGGCGGCGUGCCUAAUACAUGCAAGUAGAACGCUGAAGCGAGGAGCUUGCUCUUCUUGGAUGAGUUGCGAACGGGUGAGUAACGCGUAGGUAACCUGCCUUGUAGCGGGGGAUAACUAUUGGAAACGAUAGCUAAUACCGCAUAACAAUGGAUGACACAUGUCAUUUAUUUGAAAGGGGCAAUUGCUCCACUACAAGAUGGACCUGCGUUGUAUUAGCUAGUAGGUGAGGUAAUGGCUCACCUAGGCGACGAUACAUAGCCGACCUGAGAGGGUGAUCGGCAACACUGGGACUGAGACACGGCCCAGACUCCUACGGGAGGCAGCAGUAGGGAAUCUUCGGCAAUGGGGGCAAACCUGACCGAGCAACGCCGCGUGAGUGAAGAAGGUUUUCGGAUCGUAAAGCUCUGUUGUAAGUCAAGAACGGGUGUGAGAGUGGAAAGUUCACACUGUGACGGUAGCUUACCAGAAAGGGACGGCUAACUACGUG